rnacentral:rRNA from 1 species
UACGUAGGGUCCGAGCGUUGUCCGGAAUUACUGGGCGUAAAGCGCACGUAGGCGGCUUUGUAAGUUAGAGGUGAAAGCCCGGGGCUCAACUCCGGAAUUGCCUUUAAAACUGCAUCGCUAGAAUUGUGGAGAGGUAAGUGGAAUUCCGAGUGUAGAGGUGAAAUUCGUAGAUAUUCGGAAGAACACCAGUGGCGAAGGCGACUUACUGGACACAUAUUGACGCUGAGGUGCGAAAGCGUGGGGAGCAAACAGG